CCUACGGGAGGCAGCAGUGGGGAAUCUUGCACAAUGGAGGAAACUCUGAUGCAGCGACGCCGCGUGAGCGAUGAAGCCCUUCGGGGUGUAAAGCUCUUUCGACAGGGACGCGGUACCUGGAGAAGCAGCUGCGGCUAACUACGUGCCAGCAGCCGCGGUAAUACGUAGGCAGCAAGCGUUGUUCGGAGUUACUGGGCGUAAAGGGUGUGUAGGCGGCCUUCUAAGUUCGGUGUGAAAUCUCCCGGCUUAACCGGGAGGGUGCGCCGGAAACUGGCAGGCUAGAGUGUGGGAGGGGAAAGUGGAAUUCCUGGUGUAGCGGUGAAAUGCGUAGAUAUCAGGAGGAACACCUGUGGUGUAGACGGCUUUCUGGACAUACUGACGCUGAGACACGAAAGCGUGGGUAGCAAACAGGAUUAGAUACCCUUGUAGUC
rnacentral:rRNA from 1 species